rnacentral:rRNA from 1 species
ACGACUAAUCCAUGCGGGGUCAGAGAGAAUUAGAUUCUCUCGCACAACGCUGAGUAACACGCGAGUAAUCUGCCCUAAGGUGGGAAAUAACCCCGGGAAACUGGGAACAAUGUCCCAUAGGCAAUUGGUACUGGAAUGUCCUUUUGCUAAAAGUUCCGACGCCUUAGGAUGAGCUUGCGGCGGAUUAGGCAGUUGGUAGGGUAACGGCCUACCAAACCGAAGAUCCGUAGGGGCCGUGAGAGCGGGAGCCCCCAGAUGGGUACUGAGACAAGGACCCAGGUCCUACGGGACGCAGCAGGCGCGAAAACUCCGCAAUGCACGAAAGUGUGACGGGGGAACUCCGAGUGCUGCUGGAUUUAAUCCAGUGGCUUUUCUGGAAUGUAAAUAGUUCCAGGAAUAAAGGUUGGGUAAGACCGGUGCCAGCCGCCGCCGGUAACACCGGCAACCUGAGUGGUGAUCGCGAUUAUUGGGCCUAAAGCGUUCGUAGCCGGACGUAUAAGUUUCCAGGUAAAUCCGCCAGCUUAACUGUCGGAAUUCUGGAGAUACUGUAUGUCUUGAAGCUGGGAGAGGGCACGAGUACUUCAGGGGCAGGAGUGAAAUCCACUGAUCCUUGAGGGACUACCUGUGGCGAAAGCGCGUGUCCAGAACAGACUUGACGGUGAGGAACGAAACCCUGGGGAGCAAACGGGAUUAGAUACCCCGGUAGUCCAGGGCGUAAACGAUGUCCGUUUGGUGUUGCAUGCUUUACGAGAGCAUGCAGUGCCGUAGCGUAGGUGUUAAACGGACCGCCUGGGGAGUACGGUCGCAAGACUGAAACUUAAAGGAAUUGACGGGGGAGCACCACAAGGGGUGGAGCCUGCGGUUCAAUUGGAUUCAACGCCGG